rnacentral:rRNA from 1 species
AUUGAACGCUGGCGGCAUGCCUUACACAUGCAAGUCGAACGGUAGCAGGUUAAGCUGACGAGUGGCGAACGGGCGAGUAAUGUAUCGGAACGUGCCCAGUCGUGGGGGAUAACUACUCGAAAGAGUGGCUAAUACCGCAUACGACCUGAGGGUGAAAGCGGGGGACCGUAAGGCCUCGCGCGAUUGGAGCGGCCGAUAUCAGAUUAGCUAGUGGGUGGGGUAAAAGCCCACCAAGGCGACGAUCUGUAGCUGGUCUGAGAGGACGACCAGCCACACUGGGACUGAGACACGGCCCAGACUCCUACGGGAGGCAGCAGUGGGGAAUUUUGGACAAUGGACGCAAGUCUGAUCCAGCCAUGCCGCGUGCGGGAAGAAGGCCUUCGGGUUGUAAACCGCUUUUGUCAGGGAAGAAACGAGUUUCUCAAAUACAGAGACUUAAUGACGGUACCUGAAGAAUAAGCACCGGCUAACUACGUGCCAGCCGCCGCCGUAACAC